UUCUCCCAAUAACUCAUUUUCUAAAUUGGAUUAGAUUUAUUCUGCAUAUUUAUGAUUUUCAAUUCACUAUGAUUUCAUAUGUAUAGAAUGCUUGGUUUCAGCUGCAUCAUGUUCCAUAAUAUUUCUGAAUCAAUGGGUGUUCAUUGAAUUAUAUUUUUAGAUCCAAACUAGAAUGACCGAAUGAUGCAUCAUCUGUGACUCAUGACUAGGUGAUUGCCCAAACUACACUGAUUUCUAGGUUGAGAUUAUAAGUAUGAGAUAUACCCUCUCUUUUAGGUUCAAGUUAUGGGUUUGAUUUUAUGCAAUAGACGAUGUUUUUGAUUUGUUCAAGUGGUCUUCUUCUCAAAGGUAUAAUUUUCUUGUCUCCCUCAAAAUCUAAUUUUUUGAAUUGGAUCAGAUUUAUUUGAAACAAGAAAUGGAUGUCUAAAUUUCUGCUUUUCUUGAUUUUUCGUUCCACUAUGCUAUCUGGUUGGCUAUCAAUUCACUGGUUUGUUAUGUAUGUAUAGAUGGUCCAUAGAAUGCAAGUAUUGAACCACACCUUUUAUAUCUGGCGUUCGUUUUCUUAGUUUGCAAGAGUUUAUAGGUCUGAAAUGAAUUGAAGCAAAUUUCAGUGAUAUCACUGCCUUGCCAAUGAUUAGUUUUGCACGUUUGGUAGUUCAGGCUUUCAAUUAGGUCUGUAGACACCACCUUCUGCAAGAAUUUUAUAGGUCUGAAGUGAAUUGAGAAACCUCGACAUUUGAAGCAGAAUAAGACUAUCCUUUGACAGAGAUAGGAGGAAGAAGGCCAGAUAAUACUUGAGAGGAGGAAGAAGUUGAAAUGUGUCUCAGAGGUAUGAUCUGUGUAUCCUCUAAAUCAUGAUCUAUCAAAACAUUGAAUCAGGCCAUUACAAGUACCUAAAGGUAUUGGGAAAAAGGGUUCUAUAAAUCUCUCCACUUGUAUCUUUUAGGUUCAUGUAAUGGGUUUGAUUUUAUGUAAUUUUCUGUCUCUCAGAAACUAAUUUUCUGAAUUGGAUUACGUUUUAGUGGAACCUGUGAAUGAAUGUUUAAAUUUCUGCGUUUUUUCAUUUUGUUUGAUGGAAUAUGUUAUCUGCUUGGCUAUGAAUUCACUGAUUUGUUUUGCAUAGAUGGAUUGAAUUCAACUGCAACAUGUUCCAUAACCAUCCAGAUUUUGGUUUUUUAUUGAGAUCCAAACUAGGUACUUGUUUCUAGAUUUCAGUACCAACAAAACAGAAUAAGCUACAAAUGCAGAAACAACAUCAUCUGAAUACAUUUAUGGAAUAUAUGAUAAAUCUAUAAGAGUGUUCUGUAAUCAAUACUUAACUUCCUUCUAUCCUACUCUGCUGUUUUACAGACUUGAUAAAGACAGUACUAGCAGUCUUCAAUGGAUUGUAAUAUAUGUUUGUAACCACCGUACCUGACAAGCUAGAAAAGAAACUAGUCAAUAAUACUGAAGUUAGAUUCAUGGUGAAGCUGUUACUAACUAGCAGUAGCAGACAACGUGCCAUUCCUCAUCAUGCCAAUCUUGAUUGUGCCUCUUUAGACAGACUUUAUUUGGAAAGAGUUGGGGGUGGACAUUAUUGUGAACUUCUUGAAUUUGGGAGGUCAAGAUGGUCAUAGCUGCAAGUCAAAAGCUUCAAACAGUUGAAAGCAAGUGUUCCGAGAUGCCUGCUGCUGCUGUAUGUUCUACUUCUGAAUCUAGAAACUGCAAAAGACUUGAGAUCUACUCUGGCAGUGAAGACUUAGAGGAUUUUCUGUAUUUUCUUUAUCUUUUUGUUUGGAGAAGGAAGAAAAUUUGCUUUGCUUUAGUGCUGUAGAGAGUUUUAGUUUGUAAUAUUUGAGACAAGCAAAAUGUUCUACUAAACUGUCAGAAACGAAAUAUGCUAAUCUGAAGCGGAGCUUAUUCAGACAUCAAACAACCAUAUGCAAGAUUAAUUUUUUUUUGAAAAGGAACAUAAUAUUUCCACUCAA